AACGAACGCUGGCGGCAUGCCUAACACAUGCAAGUCGAACGAGACCUUCGGGUCUAGUGGCGCACGGGUGCGUAACGCGUGGGAACCUGCCCUUAGGUUCGGAAUAACUCCCCGAAAGGGGUGCUAAUACCGGAUAAUGUCUUCGGACCAAAGAUUUAUCGCCUUUGGAUGGGCCCGCGUUGGAUUAGCUAGUUGGUAGGGUAAAAGCCUACCAAGGCGACGAUCCAUAGCUGGUCUGAGAGGAUGAUUAGCCACACUGGGACUGAGACACGGCCCAGACUCCUACGGGAGGCAGCAGUGGGGAAUAUUGGACAAUGGGCGAAAGCCUGAUCCAGCAAUGCCGCGUGAGUGAUGAAGGCCUUAGGGUUGUAAAGCUCUUCUACCCGGGAUGAUAAUGACAGUACCGGGAGAAUAAGCUCCGGCUAACUCCGUG
rnacentral:rRNA from 1 species